rnacentral:rRNA from 1 species
AGGAUAAACGCUGGCGGCGUGCCUAACACAUGCAAGUCGAACGUCCUACGCAAGUAGGGAGUGGCGGACGGGUGAGUAACACGUGGGCAAUCUACCUUUCGGUGAGGAAUACCGGCGAGAAAUCGCCGACAAUACCGCAUACGCUUCGCAAGAAGCAAAGUCGCAAGACGCCGGAGGAGGAGCCUGCGCCCGAUUAGCUCGUUGGUGGAGUAAUGGUCUACCAAGGCGACGAUCGGUAGCUGGUCUGAGAGGAUGAUCAGCCACACUGGGAUUGAGAACGGCCCAGACUCCUACGGGGGGCAGCAGUGAGGAAUUUUCCGCAAUGGGCGAAAGCCUGACGGAGCGACGCCGCGUGUGGGAAGAAGGCCUUCGGGUCGUAAACCACUGUCGAAGGGGACGAUAUUGACGGUACCCUUGGAGGAAGCCCCGGCUAACUACGUGCCAGCAGCCGC